rnacentral:rRNA from 1 species
ACAUGCCUACAACAUAGCAUUAAUGCAGCGGAUCCCAUUAGAACUCCGCAAUUAAGCGUGCUCAGGCUAGAGUAGUACUGAGAUGGGUGAUCGCCCGAGAAGUCCUAGUGUUUUGCAUGCC